rnacentral:rRNA from 1 species
GUCUACAGCCAUGCCACCACCCUGAACGUGCCCGAUCUUGUCUGAUCUCAGAAGCUAAGCAGAGUUGGGCCCAAUUAGUACUUGGAUGGGAGACCACCUAGGAAUACCAGGUGCUGUAGGAG